UGCCACCACCACCAUCAGGCCUCCUGUUGUGGUUACAGACCCGUUUCCAGUCACAACCACCACAUUUAAAACCACAACAUCCAUUCCUGCCACUGGCACCAGCACAAGUACCUCUUCGAAUGUGGCCACAACCACCGCUUUCACAACAAGCCCUACAAAUGUUUCUGAGCUGUAUUUUGAGGUAAAGGCGAAUGUUUCCAUAACAGGAAUCUGUGACG